GAGUUUGAUCCUGGCUCAGGAUGAACGCUGGCGGCGUGCUUAACACAUGCAAGUCGAACGAACUCUUCGGAGUGAGUGGCGGACGGGUAAGUAACGCGUGAGGAUCUGCCCUUAGGCGGGGGACAACAUUGGGAAACUGAUGCUAAUACCCCAUAUGGCGAGAGCUGAAAGAUUAAUUGCCUGAGGAUGAACUCGCGUCUGAUUAGCUAGUUAGGGGUGUAAGGGACUCCCAAGGCGACGAUCAGUAGCUGGUCUGAGAGGAUGAUCAGCCACACUGGGACUGAGACACGGCCCAGACUCCUACGGGAGGCAGCAGUGGGGAAUUUUCCGCAAUGGGGGCAACCCUGACGGAGCAACGCCGCGUGCGGGAGGAAGGCCUGUGGGUUGUAAACCGCUUUUCUCUGGGAAGAAGCUCUGACGGUACCAGAGGAAUCAGCAUCGGCUAACUCCGUGCCAGCAGCCGCGGUAAGACGGAGGAUGCAAGCGUUAUCCGGAAUUAUUGGGCGUAAAGCGUCCGUAGGCGGUUAAUCAAGUCCGCUGUCAAAGCCUACAGCUCAACUGUGGAAUGGCAGUGGAAACUGAAUAACUAGAGUGCGGUAGGGGUAGAGGGAAUUCCCAGUGUAGCGGUGAAAUGCGUAGAUAUUGGGAAGAACACCAGUGGCGAAGGCGCUCUACUGGGCCGCAACUGACGCUGAGGGACGAAAGCUAGGGGAGCGAAAGGGAUUAGAUACCCCUGUAGUCCUAGCCGUAAACGAUGGACACUAGGUGUUGGCCGUAUCGACCCGGUCAGUACCGCAGCAAACGCGUUAAGUGUCCCGCCUGGGGAGUACGCACGCAAGUGUGAAACUCAAAGGAAUUGACGGGGGCCCGCACAAGCGGUGGAGUAUGUGGUUUAAUUCGACGCAACGCGAAGAACCUUACCUGGCCUUGACAUGCAGAGAACUUUCCAGAGAUGGAUUGGUGCCUUCGGGAACUCUGACACAGGUGCUGCAUGGCCGUCGUCAGCUCGUGUCGUGAGAUGUUGGGUUAAGUCCCGUAACGAGCGCAACCCCUAUCCCUAGUUGCUAGCAGUUCGGCUGAGAACUCUAGGGAGACUGCCGGGGACAACUCGGAGGAAGGUGGGGAUGACGUCAAGUCAUCAUGCCCCUUACGUUCUGGGCUACACACGUACUACAAUGCUCCGGACAAAGGGCAGCAAGCGUGCGAACGCAAGCUAAUCCCAUAAACCGGGGCUCAGUUCAGAUUGCAGGCUGCAACUCGCCUGCAUGAAGGAGGAAUCGCUAGUAAUCGCAGGUCAGCAUACUGCGGUGAAUACGUUCCCGGGCCUUGUACACACCGCCCGUCACACCAUGGGAGUUGGCCACGCCCGAAGUCGUUACUCUAACCGUUCGCGGAGGAGGGUGCCGAAGGUGGGGCUGAUGACUGGGGUGAAGUCGUAACAAGGUAGCCGUA
rnacentral:rRNA from 2 species